rnacentral:lncRNA from 1 species
UAUUUAAGUUCAGCACCUACUCAGUCGUUUUGGCCAAGGCACAGCUAGUGGAGAGGAAUCUUUAUAUCUUCCCUCCAGUAGUGGGGAAUCCCAAACCCCCAAUCUUAUACCACAGACCAGCACCCAAUGUACCAGUUCAGCAGAACAAGAGGCUUAGGCCAGUGACUCAAGCUCCUCCUCAGACUCUAGCAACAGAAUAUGGUAGGACUUGUCAGCAUUGUGUCAAGGAUCAUGGGGACCGACCCUACUAUUGUCUGAACAAUACCUACCGCAUAUGUGGAAGUGUCCAACGUUAUGCGAUAGAGUGUCCAUGAAAUCAGAAUCAAACCAGACCUCUUAUCCAGAGCAGAGUCUACAACCUCACCCAAGAGGACGCUGAAGCCAACCCAAAC